rnacentral:rRNA from 1 species
UACGUAGGCGGAAAAUUAAGUCAGUAGUGACAUCCUGCAGCUUAACUGUAGAACUGUUAUUGAUACUGGUUUUCUUGAAUAUAGUUGAGGUAGGCGGAAUGUGUAAUGUAGCGGUGAAAUGCUUAGAUAUUACACAGAACACCGAUUGCGAAGGCAGCUUACUAAGCUAUGAUUGACGCUGAGGUACGAAAGCGUGGGGAGCGAACAGGAUUAGAUACCCUGGUAGUCC